GAUGAACGCUGGCGGCGUGCCUAACACAUGCAAGUCGAGCGAAGCACUUUGCUUUGAUUCUUUCGGGAGGAAAAGUAAUUUGACUGAGCGGCGGACGGGUGAGUAACGCGUGGGUAACCUGCCUCAUACAGGGGGAUAACAGUUAGAAAUGACUGCUAAUACCGCAUAAGACCACAGUACUGCAUGGUACAGUGGUAAAAACUCCGGUGGUAUGAGAUGGACCCGCGUCUGAUUAGCUGGUUGGUGGGGUAACGGCCCACCAAGGCGACGAUCAGUAGCCGGCCUGAGAGGGUGAACGGCCACAUUGGGACUGAGACACGGCCCAAACUCCUACGGGAGGCAGCAGUGGGGGAUAUUGCACAAUGGGGGAAACCCUGAUGCAGCGACGCCGCGUGAGCGAUGAAGUAUUUCGGUAUGUAAAGCUCUAUCAGCAGGGAAGAAAAUGACGG
rnacentral:rRNA from 1 species